rnacentral:rRNA from 1 species
UACGUAGGGGGCAAGCGUUGUCCGGAAUCAUUGGGCGUAAAGAGCGUGUAGGCGGCUCGGUAAGUCCGCUGUGAAAGUCCAGGGUUCAACCCUGGAAUGCCGGUGGAAACUGUCGAGCUAGAGUCCGGAAGAGGCGAGUGGAAUUCCUGGUGUAGCGGUGAAAUGCGCAGAUAUCAGGAGGAACACCAAUGGCGAAGGCAGCUCGCUGGGACGGUACUGACGCUGAGACGCGAAAGCGUGGGGAGCAAACAGG